rnacentral:rRNA from 1 species
UACGGGGGGGGCAAGCGUUGUUCGGAAUUACUGGGCGUAAAGGGCUCGUAGGCGGCCAACUAAGUCGGACGUGAAAUCCCCAGGCUCAACCUGGGAACUGCGUCCGAUACUGGAUGGCUUGAAUUCGGGAGAGGGAUGCAGAAUUCCAGGUGUAGCGGUGAAAUGCGUAGAUAUCUGGAGGAAUACCGGUGGCGAAGGCGGCAUCCUGGACCGACAUUGACGCUGAGGCACGAAAGCCAGGGGAGCAAACGGG